rnacentral:rRNA from 1 species
GGAGGUAGUGACAAUAAAUCACAAUGCGGAACAAUGUUUUGCAAUUGGAUUGAGAACAACGUACAAACCUUAUCGAUAAACAAUUGGAGGGCAAGUCUGGUGCCAGCAGCCGCGGUAAUUCCAGCUCCAAUAGCGUAUAUUAACGUUGUUGCAGUUAAAAAGCUCGUAGUUGAAACGAAGGGUGGUGUUGUUGGAUUUACAUUCGUGUAUAUCUUUCAAUUCCUCCCUCCUUCUAAAUUCGAUAUAUGAGUAUUAAUUUACUUGUAUAUGGUUUUAGACAUUUACUGUGAGAAAAUUAGAGUGUUCAAAGCAGGCAUUUGCUUGAAUAUAUUAGCAUGGAAUAAUCAUGUAUGAUUUUCAUGAUGUAUUUGAUUGGUUUGGUUCAUGAGAAUAAGAUUAAAAGGGACAGUUGGGGGUAUUCAUAUUCAAUAGUCAGAGGUGAAAUUCUCGGAUUUAUGGAAGAUGA